rnacentral:rRNA from 1 species
CCCUUAGACGUUCUGGGCCGCACGCGCGCUACACUGACCAGUGCAACAAGCAUCCGUCCUUGGCCGACAGGCCCGGGCAAUCUUUGAACGCUGGUCGUGAUGGGGAUAGACUUUUGCAAUUUUUGGUCUUCAACGAGGAAUUCCUAGUAAACGCAAGUCAUCAACUUGCAUUGAUUACGUCCCUGCCCUUUGUACACACCGCCCGUCGCACCUACCGAUUGAAUGGUCCGGUGAAAUCUUCGGAUUGCUGGAUAGGACUUCAUUGACCUAUCUGCGAGAAGUUGCUUGAACCUUAUCAUUUAGAGGAAGGAGAAGUCGUAACA